GACGAACGCUGGCAGCGUGCCUAAUACAUGCAAGUAGAACGCUGAAGGAGGAGCUUGCUUCUCUGGAUGAGUUGCGAACGGGUGAGUAACGCGUAGGUAACCUGCCUGGUAGCGGGGGAUAACUAUUGGAAACGAUAUCUAAUACCGCAUAAGAGUAGAUGUUGCAUGACAUUUGCUUAAAAGGUGCAAUUGCAUCACUACCAUAUGGACCUGCGUUGUAUUAGCUAGUUGGUGGGGUAACGGCUCACCAAGGCGACGAUACAUAGCCGACCUGAGAGGGUGAACGGCCACACUGGGACUGAGACACGGCCCAGACUCCUACGGGAGGCAGCAGUAGGGAAUCUUCGGCAAUAGACGGAAGGCUGACCGAGCAAAGCCGCGUGAGAGAAGAAGGUUUUCGGAUCGUAAAGCUCUGUUGUAAGAGAAGAACGAGUGUGAGAGUGGAAAGUUCACACUGUGACGGUAUCUUACCAGAAAGGGACGGCUAACUACGUG
rnacentral:rRNA from 1 species